GCAACCUUUUAUCAACAAGACAACAACCCUAUCAAAAACCUUAUCAAAAGUUCAAACUCUUGAAGAAUAAAAUCAAAGAUCCGUACCUGGUCGGCUAGUCUGCAGGUUGAAUGGAUGAUCGAUCGAAGCCUGUCUGCAGGGGAGGGCGGUAGAGAUGAAAGGGCGAUUGGCUUUAUUUGGGUAAAUGGGUUAUGUUUUGUUAAUUGAUUUAGUUAUUUGGGUUGGGUUUUACCAUAAACUUAUUCAAUUGGGCUUGAUGUUGGGUUAUAGGAAUACAAGUUUUAUUGUGGGCUAACUUGUUUACAAUUUUUUUUUAUAUAAAUUCUAACAUUUUUUUCUAAGGGGUGCGGUCAGAAUUUUUCAAGGGGUGCGGUCAAAAUUUUUCAAGGGGUGCGGUCGGGAUUUUUCGCGAAAAAUAACACUAAAUUUUUUUUUUCAAGGGGUGCGGCCGCCCGCUGUAACACCCCGUGUUUUCGAAUGUCAAAGUCAAAGUCAAAGUCCAAGUCAACUUUGACUUUCCUUGACUGUAGAUAGUCGAUUUUGUGUUUUAGUUGUAUUAUGUGGAGUAAGUGUUGUAAUCAGCAAGAAUCGAAGUAAUUGAACGUGUCUUAAUGCGAACCGAUCUACGACUGUGAAUGAUAGCAAGUAACAAUGCGAUAAAGUUAACCUAAUCAGUAAUCAAACCGAUCUAACAAUCAAUCAAACUCGAGACUCGAAUUAUUGAAUUAUUGAAUUGUGGUAUUGUUAUACGUGUGUGUGUGCCUUAUGUGUUGCUUGUGCGUGCUUACUUUAUGUUUGGUGUGGUAUUCAAGCAAAUCAAUCGAAAAUCGAAUCGAAACUC
rnacentral:lncRNA from 1 species